GCUGUGAUGGCCGAGUGGUUAAGGCGUUGGACUUGAAAUCCAAUGGGUCCCCGCGCAGGUUCGAACCCUGCUCUCGCAGCG
rnacentral:tRNA from 1 species